rnacentral:sRNA from 1 species
AGUGAACUUCGUUUGAAGUAGAAAUCCUUGUGGGCUGGGGUUCAGCCCGCAAGAUUGUAGCGAAAAGCGGGACCAAUG